CCUCAUACCAGCAUACCCGGAAACUACAGAAACAGAGAGAGAGGAAUAGAACCAAACAAACAGCGCGCUCAUCCAUAACAUUGAUAAGUACAAUAAACGUUGCUUAACUUAAACGCUUGUCUGUAUAUCCUAACAAACUGUUUCUGACGGGAGGACAGUGGACACCAUGCAAAAUAGAACACCACUACGAAUUGGGGAAUUCCUAAUAGCACAAAUACCCUUCAAGAGAUGUUCGCCGUAUCAAAACAUUGGCCUCCAGUUGACUAUUCUGUUUACCUGUGCCUCUACUUUGUGUAUAAUUACCUUAAGAAGAGUUAAUGUACCUGCAGCUCGACUGUAAUGAUUUAAUGCUCGCUAGUGUAAUGAAUAAGUGGUUAUUUUGCUGCAUGACGUAUGAUCAGAUGAAUAAAACUAGAUUUAUUCAAUAGAUUAAAAGGAAAGUAUGCCGCAAAUAACAGUUAAGCUGUUGUGAGGGAGCGAAUGAAGACCCAUGGUUUUAAGGAUCUCCGUGUGACUGAUUUGUUUUAUAAUAAAGGCCCAAAUGAUUACCAGACCCAGUGGACAAAAUUUGGAAACCAAUACUUUAAUUGAUUUCAAACAUGAAAAAUGUACACAGAGUAUACAAAACACUAAGAACAGGUGAAUCCAGGUGAAAGCUAUGAUCCCUUAUUGUCACUUGUUAAAUCCACUUCAAUCAAUGUCGCUGAAGUGGAGGCAACAGGUUAAAGAACCAUUUUUAAACCUUAAGAAUAUUGAGACAUGGAUUGUGUAUGUGUACCAUUCAGAGGGUGAAGGGGCAAGACAAAAGAUUUAAGUGCCUUUGAAUGGGGUAUGGUAGUAGGUGCCAGGCACACUGGUUUGUGUCAAGAACUGCAAUGCUGCUGUUUUUUUCACACUCCACAGUUUACUGUUUGUAUCAAGAACGGUCCACUACCCAAAGGAUAUUCAGCCAACUUGACACGACUGGGAAGCAUUGGAGUCAACAUGGGCCAGCAUCCCUGUGGAACGCUUUUGACAGUGGGGAACUCAGGGGUAGCUCAAUAUUAGUAAGGUGUUCCUAAUGUUUGGUAUACCCAGUAUAUACAGUGCAUCCCGGACGAGACCCCAAAUUUACUAAACCACCUACCUAGCCUAUUGAUAUUGCUACUCAUGCUAAGUCUAGGGUUCCUAAAUGGUCUGUAACCAAGGUGUACAUUUAAGUGAGAAGUCUGAGUAUGCAGACCUUGUUGUAUGCAUGGGGGGAAAAAGUUGUCAAAACCAUAAGUGAAUACCUUGGAAUGUCAAAUACCAUGAAAUGUCAAAUCAGAGAUUUUUGUGGCAAAACCUACUCAAUGUCUAAGUGUAUGUACAAAUACUUUAAACUUCAUACUGUUUCAUGUUCAGUGUUAUACUUCAUUCUCCGAAAUGAUCCUCUGUUUAGACUUUGUUUGUUGGCAUUUCUUGAUGACUUUUACAGCCUUGCUUUGUGUCCGAGCCGCUUCGAUUGAAAAUUGUCAGUCAUUGACAUUUCAAAACCAUCCCUGAUGUUUUUCAAAAGUGUGUCUUCACCUAGACAUUAUAUACUUGUAAGUGCUCAGUGAUAUUGCCCUCAUAUUUGUGAUAUAUGUAUUUGCCAAAAUGACUUAGAUGUAAACAUAUUUAGUUCCGUGGAGGAAAGGCCUAGUUUUCUUUGUAUUGUUCACUCAUAGUCAUCCGGAGGCAUACCGCCAAGCCCAAACAUAUUUCCCAUGCACGUGGUUGAAGAAAAGCCCUGAGGUUAUAGAACAGAAGGGAAAUCAUUUCAGGUUGACAAGGUGAAGAUUGAGAUGACAGCAGUGCCUUUCAGUUACAGCAAAUGUAGUCAAUCUGCCUUCUUGUUUUUGGAAAACCUACUGACAGAUCUACAAACUGUUUUCUUUUUUAUUCAAAACCUAAUGAAUAUAGUCAACGUUCUUUUGAGUUUAACUAAUUGUAGUUCCAUUUCGGUAAUGAAACAGCCAUAAAUAAGUAGCAAAGCCUGAGUGUCCUCAUGGAUAUUUCUAAUAAACUUUGUUCUGCCAACUCAGCAGGCCAGUUUCUUGUCUUGCAUGACCUAAUUAAGAAAACCAUCUAAAGUAACCUUUACAUGUAAAAAGAGACUGUUAAGAAGAAGUAAUACACUUCUAACAGUGAGGUCUAAGUGCUGGUUAAUAAACCAUACCCGGGCAAUAUAAUCCCACAAGAUAAACAGUCGUUUUCAACAUGUUUCUUCCGUGGUAACCUUAAUAAACCAAGUUAAACUAUGCCUACCUUGUUCUUGUUAUUGACAGUCAGCUCAUUCAGAUAUUGCUUGAAGGGGUUUGGAUGAAAUGCUUCAUUAUCUUCCUCUGGUAAUCUUGGGAUAAUAUUAGCAGGUCGAAUUACCCCAGGCUUGGUCUGUAAUAUACACUUAAUAAAUGAAUCAGAAAGCAUAUGUGCAUUCAUUAGCAUUACAGAGUUUAAACAGAUUUGACAUAUUUGCAAUAGAAUACCUUAUAUGGAUCUGGUAGUUCUCUCUCAAUAGUUGCAGAUGGUUGUAGGUUGUAUGUUGCCUGUAAUUAUUUUUAAGUACCUUUCCUUCAGAAAGUAUUCACACCCCUUGAUUUAUUCCACAUUUUGUUGUGUAACAGCCUGAAUUCAAAAUGGAUUAACUCAAUUUUUUUCUCAUCCAUCUACACACAAUAUCCCAUAAUGACAAAGUAAAUGUAUGUUUUUAGAUAUGUUUGCACAUUUUAUUAAAAAUGAAAUACAGAAAUAUAUAAUUUACAUAAGUAUUCACACCCCUGAGUCAAUACUUAGUAGAAGCACCUUUGACAGUGAUUACAGCUGAGUCUUUCUGGGUAAGUCUCUAAGAGCUGGAUUGAAAUUGAAUCUAUUUUAAAUUCAAGCUGUAGCACAACAAAAUGUGGGACAAGUCAAGAGGUGCGAAUACUUUCUGAAUGCACAGGGUAUGUCUAAAACUAUCCUAGAGCAAUCUUUGUCAGGAUAUUUUGCAUAUGAGAAAUGAGAACAUCACAACAAAGAACACCUCAUUACAGUAUCAGAAGGAGUGAAUAAUACAUUGUUUAGUUAUUCAAUUACAGACACAGUAAUUAGUCAUCAGCAAAGUUAUGGUGCUUUCCAAUGUGGCCACCAGAUUUAUCUUUUUGAAGCGCCUGGAACGUUUUUCUUCUUCUUCCAGAUGCACAAUAGCAAGCAUUCUCAUUUAUUUUGGGAUAUGUGUAGUUUAUUACUAAGGGAACAAAACAAAAAUGUAUACUCACAUAUUUAGUUUCAUGUCCCAAUGACCUUGGCAAUGAUCAAGUAAAGAAACCCAAGUAAUGAUAAUUUUAUGAGAAGACUAUUCCUGGUAAAGUCAGUUCAUCUAAUUACUGUGCUGUUUAUUUGUGGUAAUUGUGAUGUUGCAUGUGCAAGUAGACUAUCCUGACCCUUUAAUAUCUGGACUAUCUUUGUAUUUUUAAUCCACUGUGUGUGACAUCCUUUGUAGCCAUAUUGACCAGUUAGAGGACCAUCUCAUUUCCAGUUGUAUAUGUCCACUCGCGCAUGCCAUGCGUGAGGUCACGCUUGCACACAUGCAAACCCACACCCCCAUGGAUCGAAUCCCCGAGCUGACAGGGUAAAAAUCUGUCGUUCUUCCCCUGAGCAAGGCAAUUAACCCACUGCUCCCCGGGCACCGAAGACGUGGAUGUCGGUUAAGGCAGCCCCCUGCACCUCUG
rnacentral:lncRNA from 1 species